rnacentral:rRNA from 1 species
UACGUAGGGUGCAAGCGUUGUCCGGAAUUAUUGGGCGUAAAGAGCUCGUAGGCGGUCUGUCGCGUCGGCUGUGAAAACUCGGGGCUCAACUCCGAGCUUGCAGUCGAUACGGGCAGGCUAGAGUUCGGCAGGGGAGACUGGAAUUCCACGUGUAGCGGUGAAAUGCGUAGAGAUGUGGAGGAACACCAGUGGCGAAGGCGACUCUUUGGCCUGUAACUGACGCUGAGGCGCGAAAGCGUGGGGAGCAAACAGG